UUGUGCAUAAUUUAUCUCUAAUUUUUGGUUCCUAGAUAUUGACCUAUUCAAUCUAAAGGAAUGCUUCAAGCACUAGAACAUCUACAGCCCUCUGUAGUGGUUUUGGUGCCAGGAGUGCCAUGACCUGCUCCCAGAGUAAGUCAAACUAUUCAAGAAUGCUUUGACAAUUCCACUUCACUCACGUUGUCCCGUCUCUUAUGGGCCUAGCUCGACUGUACGAGUCUACUACAUUCACAUAUUUCAACGACUUAAUAGAGACAACAACAUACCUAACUAUGGGCAUUGGAUAUGAGCGAACAUGGGAACUGUGAUUGACUCUCUCCCUCAUUGAAAGCUCGAUGUAGAUAUCAACUGCUUAUUCACUGUAACUUCAUGUUCUUAUGACAAAUGGG